rnacentral:misc_RNA from 1 species
UUCCCCUCUUGCAUAAAAAAGAAAAAUAAAUAAAUAAACGAUCAAGAGACUUCAACACCCAGGUGGCUGCCACAUGGACGGGGUGCACGCCGCAGCUCUGAUGCUUCCAUUCCCUGCCGCACAGAACUCGAUGUCCUAUGGAUGCAGAAUCCGGGGACCGCCUUACGACUUGUCCGACAAACAAUCCAGCGACACACAUCAACACCCUGAUGACUGCCGCAUGGAGAUUGGACAGGAUGCUCACCGCUGCUCUGAUGCUUCCAUUCCCCGCAGAACAGAACUGUAUUGUCUUAUGGAUGGAUGCAGAUAAGUUUUGCUGACUUUUCGCCUGACAUCUUUGCUGCUGCUGCCGCCCCACUUCACCUGUUGAUGAUCCCUAAAGAGAGCACUGGUUUGGACUCAUGAUGCUUCAUGCUUAUAUGGUGGCCUGUGAUAUCCCCUCUUGCAAGACCACAGGCCUGCAGCGCUACAACCUUGUUUGAUCAUCUGCUAGUUCCCAUCUGCAACCAACCCAACUAGCAACAACAACUUGAUGCUGAGACCUAGUUUCUCAGUCAGGACCAUCACCUUUAUGACCUGUGAAGUUGAUUCUGCCUAUACCAAGCUCCUUCAGCACAUCAGGUAGAGAUGGAAGUCCAUGAGCCAUCCGAACACCAAAGCCAUGAAACAUAUCAUGAUCAGUGUCCGUGACUCUGUUUCAAGUGAUGUAACCAAACCAGCAACUUCUACGACAAUAACCCCACCAGGCCCUUCAAGUCUUUCUGGUUGGUAUCAUCAACAUCCCACCCACAGCUUCUCUAUGGCCACCCUCUUAAGUUCCUGUGUCAGGAACAAUGUUCAGGCCAAUGCUGUGAUCGUUGAGGCCACUGCUUGGCCACAAGAUAAUAUGGCCCAGUACAAUACACAUGCCCCACCUCUUUUCCUAUUACUCAAGCUUGUUGCUGUAGUCUGCAUCCAGGACAUAACUAUGAGGCACCAGGAAAUGAUGGUAGGCACAGUGAUGGGCAUUGGGUUCCAUGACUAUCUGAAAAUACCCAGAAGCUGUAUCUCGUGGAGGAACUGUGAAUUUCUCUGCCCAUCCAAGUGUCCAUCCAUUAGAGAAUUGUCUUGGGCAUCACAACAAGCCUGCUGGCUUGCAGAGAGGAUGCUAGUCUCACCUGUCGCAACUUAAGUUUUAGCCCUGUAACAAAUGCACAAAUAGUAUUUAUGUAAAUUUCAUUCCUAAACAAAUUAAUAUUUACUAUUAUACUUUAGCAACUAGAGAGGAAGCAUGUGACUCUGAGUCAAAAUACAAGCAAGUUUAUUCAUUUCAAAUAUACCAAGGACCUGUUA